rnacentral:ncRNA from 1 species
UUUCUUCGGGGCGGGGUGAAAUUCCCCACCGGCAGUAAAAGUCUGCGAGCCUUGGCUGAACGGGUGCAAUUCCCGUACCGACGGUAUAGUCCGGAUGGAAGAAGAA